GUUUGGUGCUGGUCGCUAUGAAGUUGAUGGAUAUGUUUACAACAGUGAGGAAGAACCCAAAAUUUUGAUGACUGGAAAAUGGAAUGAAUCUAUAAGUUAUCAACCCUGUGAUUUGGAAGGGGAGCCCAUGGCUGGCAGCACUCUUAAAGAGGUCUGGAAAGCUGCUGAAGCUCCUAAAAACGACAAAUUUCAGUAUACAUAUUUUGCACACAAGAUUAAUAGCUUUGAUACUGCGCCUAAGAAAUUAUUAGCAUCUGAUUCUCGCUUGCGCCCUGAUCGUUACGCACUUGAGAUAGGUGAUGUGUCCAAAGCUAGUUCAGAAAAGAGCCGUUUGGAGGAGAGGCAGAGAGCUG
rnacentral:misc_RNA from 1 species